AUUGAACGCUGGCGGCAUGCUUUACACAUGCAAGUCGAACGGUAACAGCACUUCGGUGGCUGACGAGUGGCGAACGGGUGAGUAAUACAUCGGAACGUGCCUAGUAGUGGGGGAUAACUACUCGAAAGAGUAGCUAAUACCGCAUGAGAUCUAAGGAUGAAAGCAGGGGACCUUCGGGCCUUGCGCUACUAGAGCGGCUGAUGGCAGACUAGGUAGUUGGUGGGAUAAAAGCUUACCAAGCCGACGAUCUGUAGCUGGUCUGAGAGGACGACCAGCCACACUGGGACUGAGACACGGCCCAGACUCCUACGGGAGGCAGCAGUGGGGAAUUUUGGACAAUGGGCGCAAGCCUGAUCCAGCAAUGCCGCGUGCAGGAUGAAGGCCUUCGGGUUGUAAACUGCUUUUGUACGGAACGAAAAGCCCUCUUCUAAUACAGGAGGGUCAUGACGGUACCGUAAGAAUAAGCACCGGCUAACUACGUG
rnacentral:rRNA from 1 species